rnacentral:lncRNA from 1 species
UUUUUCAAAGAGAAUCUGCAGUCUAAUUAAUGUAGACAUAUACUCACCAAUACAAAACUGGAAAAAAAAACUAUAACCUUUCUUCUUCUUUUUUAACCUCCAACUCUAAUCGGUAAAGGUGCUGAUACUGAGAACAAAGUCAUCGGCAGCAAAAGGGUUUUGGUUGGAGAAGUGGAAACAUGUUCCGUAUCUGUCAUGCUUGCAAAGCCUAUUCAUCAUCCUCUGAAUCUGCCAUUGUCAAGAAUAAACAAACAAAAUUCUUUUAAAAAACAACUCUAAUGGUUCCUCCACACUACACAGCCCACAUAACUUUCAAAACCGGGUUUAAACAAAGUUACAGAAACCGUACCGGAUCUUAUGUCUUCUCCCACUUGUCCUCUGUUUUUAAGUAGUCUUGCAAUCAUUGCGCAGAUGAGAUACCACCAAUAUAUGUGGAAAACAAGAAGCGUCAGUAACAGUGUGUUGAAGGAAUAGUACAUGAUGGUGCCUUCAGCUGAUGUCAUAUCCACAUGAGCCAGGAGUUCAAUGCUUUAACCAAACAAAAAAGGUGAGAAUGUCAGAUAAAGCAUUGACAAAAAUAAAUAAAGUUAUAUAUAGGAGGUAAGAAUAAAGAGUGGGAAUACCUAGUGGCCCUGAUGAUCCAAAAUGGAAAGUAAAUCAACCUAAGUAGUAGCCAAGAGAGAGCAAAGAGUGAAAAACCCACACUCGCUCCAAAUUCCUUUUCAGAGUACUUGCAAAUUUUAGCAGUUUCCAUAAACACGUCGCUUGCAUCAUGAAGGGCUAUGAUGAUUGCUCCAAUUCUGAAAAAGCUGCACAAGAAACCAAAAUAAAUAAAUAGUUUCCUGAGCUUCUUGGUUGCUUGCUCCAUAAUUCACUAUAUAUAUAUAAUAUCUCAGUCAAAAAGUUGAAUAUUGUCACACAUAAUAAUCUUGUCAAAUGACAACUCUUUUAUUAUUAUUAUUAUCAUGAAUGGACUUGUAACUUAGCAAAUAUAAUUAAGGUAAGCAUCCAUAUGCAAAUAUAACUAAUUACCUGGUUCGUUUCUUCAUGUCUCCCUUGGUAGGUCGCUCUGAGAGGUCGCUCCAGGAUGCUCGAUUUUGGUGUCUCCGGAUGAGAGGACGCGAGCGACCUUGGUGUGUCGCUCCAACAGGUCGCUCUGAACAUUGGGAGCGACUUCGGUACGUCGCUCUGGGAGGUCGCUCCAGGGUCAAAUCUGUGUGUCUCCGGACGUGAAAACGCGAGCGACUUCGUGCGGUCGCUCCGGGAUGUGGUGCACAGCGACUUCAUGUAGUCGCUCCAAGCAGUGCUCGUCCAAAGAUCACUCUAAUCACAUCCUUUGAGCUCCAAAUGCAUCCAAAUGUCUCCAGGAACUCCAUGUGGUACUCCAAUACCUAAUAGAGACAUAUGUAUGCAAAAUGCAACCUCGACAUGGCUAAAUCCUAAUCUAUAUGAUGAAAAUGCACAUGAAUAAAUGAAUAAAACAAUGUAAAUAUGCAAGAUAUCACCAUUGUAAACACAGGUUUUUGUUAGGUUUCCGCUACACGAAAUUAUGAUCAGAUAAUUGGAUUUGCUGGUUCGACCAAGGAUAUAACAACUCUGAGUAAAAAGUGUAUAAUAAAUUGGAAGCCCAUGUAAAUAAAAAGUUGAAAGCUAGGCACAUAUUAAUCAGACUCGAGAAACUAGGCAUGGGCAUUCGGGAUCUCAAUCGGGUUUUGGUUUUGUCUAAUCGGAUCUCGGUUUUUUGGGUUUAUCAAAAUCAGCCACAUUCGGGUUAUAAGAAAGUUCGGUUGGGGACCGGGUUGGAUUCUAUCCGGUCCGGAUCGGGGUCAGUAAAUCUUCAAUGAACCGGUAGAACCCGAUGUACUUUCGGGUUCAUACCCCAAUUGGUUCUUCGGUUUAAAAGUACCUGAUUUGUACCUACUUUGUAACCAAAACAUAAGUAAAAUUGGUUCUUUCAUUUUAAAGUACCUGAUUUGUACAUAUUUUUAUAACCAAGACAUAAGUAAAAUCGAUUGAAAAAUAAGAAAGGAAUAUCAAACAUGAUCAUUCAAAAUCAAACGAAAAGUAAAUAUAGUUAUUGAUAGAAAGAAAACCAAAUAAAUGAAAGCAUAAAAUGAAAACCAAGGGAUUGAUUGGUUGGUGUUGAAGCUUUAGAUUUUUUGCUUUAGAAAAUAGGUCGUGAGUUUUUAGCUUUGGUUUUAAUUUUUUUUUUUGCUGUAAAUUUAUUUUCAAAACACUUACUAAAAGCUGUAGGAAAGUUGAUUUUGAGAGCUAACAUAUUUUUUUUUCUAACUUUUUUUUGCUAUAGUUUUAUUUUUUGUAAGUAAAGAAUGAUUGCUUUAAAAAUUGCUUUAGAAAAAAAAAAUGACCGUCCAAGACACGUACAACCACUACCAAUCAAUCCCCAAAUUUUUAUGAAAUGAAAAACAUUAUUCAAUUAAAACAAAACCAAAAUCUAAAAACUUCAACCGCCACAUUCAAUCUUCGACCUUCAUAUAAUAGAUAAUUAUUUUAGAUAUUCAAUAAUAUCUUAGUGUCUUUUGGAUACAUAUUAGGAAUUGAGAUCACGUUUGGUACAAGUUCUUUUUUGGGAUUUUGAUUGUUUCGAGUUCUGUCGAAUAUCCAUUUAGGUUCGGUUCGGAUAAUACUCAUAACCCGAAAUACCAUAAAACAAAAAUCAGUCGGUAUUUAUGUCGGGUUCAGAUCGGAUCAAAUUCAGAUUCAUUUUUAUGGAAGGUUCAGGUUUUUUGGGUUCUAAUUAUUUGCCCAGCUAUACGAGACACUAUAAUAACUAAGGAGGUUACAAUAGCCAAUUAGUAAAUUUUUGCGCACACUAAAUAUUAGAAAAAAUUACCUUUUUUGCAAAAGAUAUUAGAGCAUCUCUGAUGACACACUAUUUUUUUAACGUAACUACUUUAUAAAUUACUCUAUGUUAGUAUAAAUAGAGAGGAAAAUAUAGUUUACAUGAAGGUUUCCCCAAAGAAAAGGAAAAACACAGAUAAUUUCUUGUUUUCGAACGAACUACAAAACCAUCUCUUCAGGUUUCUGAUCAGAUUAGGGUUUUCUUAAGUACUCGAUUUCUUGGGGACUUUUGUUGAUCAGUUCUCUAAUUAUAUUAUAUACUUAGAAGUUUUAAAUCAGUCCAUCAGAGAAACCAUGUCUGUUGUCAAUAAUCUUUCUCUGGAACAGAUAGCCAAAAAGCAGAGGAUCGAACCGGUCACCAACGAGUCUUCUUCUUCUAGUAGAUGUGGUCACUGGUUCCUUCGUUACGGGGAAUGCACCACCUGCAAAUCAACUGUUCACAAAGACCAAGGCGGAGUGUUCGAUUAUCUUUCCGACGGUUUACAGCUAAGCCACGAGGCUGUAGCUGCAACGAAGCAGAGAAGCAGAGAACUUCACUUAGUACUUGACUUGGACCACACGCUUCUCCACACCACUCCUCUUCUACGCCUCACCGAAGCAGAGAAGUAUCUGAUCAAAGAAGCGGCUUCUAUUACAAGGCACGAUCUGUGGGAGUGGACAACUGGAGGCGAUGAUCCCGUGGUAUCUUUGACGAAGCUACGGCCUUUUGUUUGCGGUUUCUUGGAAGAAGCCAACAAGAUGUUCACAAUGUCUGUUUACACAAAGGGUAUUCGCGAUUACACUAUGCUAAUCUUGGACGUGAUUGAUCCGAAGAAAAUCUAUUUCGGGGACAGGGUGAUAACAAGGGACGAGAGUCCUGAUGUGAAGACGCUUGAUUUGGCUUUGGCUCAUGAACGUGGAACGUUGAUUGUGGAUGAUACACGUGAUGUAUGGCCCGAUUACCAGAGUAACUUGAUUGUAAUUAGCAAAUACAACUAUUUCAGGAGAAUGAGCAACAGCCAACACUCAAAACCAUACUCUGAGGAGAAGACUGACGAGAGCGAGAAGGAGGGUGGGUUGGCCAAUGUUUUGAAGCUACUCAAAGAAGCUCACAGUGCAUUCUUCAGAGUGACAGAAGAAAAGGAAUUGGAGUCAAAGGAUGUGAGGUUGUUACUACAAGAGAUAAAUUUCAAUCGUGUCGACAAAGAAUCUUUUACUAUGUAGAAACUUUAUAUAAGCAUUUGAAGUUUCAUAUAUAAGAAGAAGUGUUAAGUACCUUUGAAAAGUUAUUUAUUUUGAAGAACAAAACUUUAAAGUAUAUUUCCAUAUGAUAGUGACUUCCAAAAAAGUCUGUUAUACUUAUGUAAAUUCAUUUAAGCAUCGAUCAAAAGCUUGUGUGAUCUGGUUCAUGUGUAAGAAGUAUAAAGUAUAUUUACAAUGUUAUUUUGACUAGAAAACAUUAAAAGCAUAUUACAUAAGUGAGGUGAAUGUUAGCAUUUCACUAUCUAUUUUGUAUUAUUCUAUCAUCUCUUAGUAAUAAUAUCGUCAAACCAAAGUGAACUACAAAGCAUUGUACUUACUUACUUUAUACAGCCCAAAAAGAUUAGAAGCUAUGGCAUACUUUGAAUCGAAUAACAAUCUCUGCGACACUCUUACAACAAAACGACAAGGAUGCCUAUGUUUCUUCUUUAUGACGUUUCAGGAUAUAUGGAGAUGCUAUGGGUUUGGGAUUCACUUCAAUUUCAUUAAUUAGCAAACAUUUAUCAGUAUUAAUUGGCAGACCAAGGUAGACCUUUUGACUAGUUGAUAAUAAACUCAAAACUCAAAAAAUAACAAUAACGCUACAUAAUUUAUUUUACAAACAUAGCAUAUUAGCAUCCGUCAUGUUCUUCAAUAAAGGUUGAUCUUAUUAGCUUAAAUGUACAACCAAUCAUAUAGACAAAGGCAAAAAAAGAGGCCUGAGCAUAUACUCUCCCUCUCCUCCCAUCCCAAUCCGCCACCUCGCCCACUUCGGAGCCGUCGCAACCUCCGGAAAGCUCUUCGUAUCCGCUAGCCGGCGAUCACGACGGUACCUUCGCUACAGACGAGGUGUGGUGCUACGACUUUGUGAAGAGACGAUGGGGGCCACGAGCGCCGAUGCUCGUUCCUCGCUCUAUGUUCGCGUGUUGCGUUCUCGAAGGGAAGAUUUUUGUCGCUGGAGGAUUCACCACGUGUCGAAAAUCGAUUUCGGGAGCUGAGGUUUAUGAUCCUGAGAGUGAUGUGUGGAGUUCGAUCCCUGAUCUCCACAGGACUCAUAACUCCGCGUGUUCCGGUUUGGUCGUGAAAGGGAAGGUUCAUGUGUUGCAUAAAGGGUUAUCGACGACGGUGCAGGUUCUUGAGAGUGUUAAGUUGGGAUGGGAUGUGAGAGAGUAUGGUUGGCCUCAAGGUCCGAUGGCUGUUGUUGAGGGUGUGAGUUAUGUGUUGAGUCAUGGAGUGGUGUACAAGGAAGAGGAUGGUGAUGAGACGUGGAAGAUGGUUGCGUCGGCGUCCGAGUUUAAGCCGAGGAUUGGUAUGGCGAUGGCGAGUUUGAGUGGUGAGGUUUUGCUUGUGGGAGGGGUGAUUGGGCCUGAUAGGGAUAAUUGGGAUAUUAAGCAGAUGUUGGAGGUUGAUGUUUUGACUGUUGGGAGUGAUCGUCCGGUGUGGAGGAAGGUUGCUCCGGUGACUAAGUGUCGUGGUACGGUGCUUGGUUGUACGCAGUUGACAAUGUGAUGGGAGUGUGAUGUAAAGACUGUUUUUUUUUUAUCUGUUAUUCUUUGUUUUGUAUUGUCACGUUUUCCUUUUCUUUUUGCGUCUUUGUUUUGUUAUAGUGUUUUUACUGUUGUGUCAAAAUACUCUUUUGUAAGGAAAAAAGAAAGAAAGGACAUAGGUAAGGUUAUUACAUGACAGUAAGGCUUCUGUGUCAAUGGGACAUGAGGCAGAUAAGAGGUGUAUAACUGAGAACAUGCACAUAACAUGCAGAGAAGACAUUCUCUGGCAUCAUUUCUAAAAGGAGCUCCAUUAAAAAUGCAAUGGAAUAGAAAACCAUAUUUGCAUUUACAAAGUGGCUUGCACAUUGUUUUAUACACUGCAUAGAACAACACAAGAAACCUGAGUGUCUGUUUUUCCUUGUAUUUUUCAAAGAGAAUCUGCAGUCUAAUUAAUGUAGACAUAUACUCACCAAUACAAAACUGGAAAAAAAAACUAUAACCUUUCUUCUUCUUUUUUAACCUCCAACUCUAAUCGGUAAAGGUGCUGAUACUGAGAACAAAGUCAUCGGCAGCAAAAGGGUUUUGGUUGGAGAAGUGGAAACAUGUUCCGUAUCUGUCAUGCUUGCAAAGCCUAUUCAUCAUCCUCUGAAU